rnacentral:tRNA from 1 species
GAGUAAAGAAGUAAAAUACAAUUAAUUUCGACUUAAUUUUAGAGUAAAAACUCCAUACUCA